UACGUAGGGUGCGAGCGUUAAUCGGAAUUACUGGGCGUAAAGCGUGCGCAGGCGGUUUUGUAAGCCGGAUGUGAAAGCCCCGGGCUUAACCUGGGAAUGGCAUUUGGGACUGCAAGGCUUGAGUGCGGCAGAGGAGACUGGAAUUCCUGGUGUAGCAGUGAAAUGCGUAGAUAUCAGGAGGAACACCGGUGGCGAAGGCGGUUCUCUGGGCCUUACCUGACGCUGAGGAGCGAAAGCGUGGGGGAGCAAACAGG
rnacentral:rRNA from 1 species